CUAUUACUCCCUCCGUCCGGAAAUACUUGUCAUUGAAAUGGAUGUAUCUAGAUGUAUUUUAGUUUUAGAUACAUCCAUUUUCAUCCAUUUUGAUGACAAAUAUUUCCGGACGGAGGGAGUACUUG
rnacentral:pre_miRNA from 1 species